rnacentral:sRNA from 1 species
UCUCGUCCUCUGUGAGUGUUGUGCGC